UGCCAGCCGCCGCGGUAAUACGGAGGGAGCUAGCGUUGUUCGGAAUUACUGGGCGUAAAGCGUGCGUAGGCGGAUCGACAAGUUGGGGGUGAAAUCCCGGGGCUUAACCCCGGAACUGCCCUCAAAACUGUCGAUCUAGAGACCGGGAGAGGUAAGCGGAAUUCCUAGUGUAGAGGUGAAAUUCGUAGAUAUUAGGAAGAACACCAGUGGCGAAGGCGGCUUUCUGGCCCAUUCUUGACGCUGAGGCGCGAAAGCUAGGGGAGCGAACGGGAUUAGAUA
rnacentral:rRNA from 1 species